AUGAAUCGCUUAGUGUGGAACUACCAAGGGGGGGGGAGCCGCCGGACAGUUCGAGAGUUGUUGGCGCUCACUCAAGCCAAAAUCCCCAAGCUUGUCUUACGUAAAACUAGGUAAGCUUCAGGUCGCGUGGAAAGGUUGAAAGGUCGACUUGGUAUGAGAGGAUUUUGUGGAGUAGGCAGUCAAUGGCUCAGUGGUCGGCUUGCUUUAUUUUGGGAUGAAUUGCUGCAAGUUAAUGUUUUAGAUAAAUGUGACAAAUAUAUUGAUGUUCAUGUGGUUGAUCUAGGUAAUGAUCCUAGUUGGAAAACAAUAUAUGUAUGUAUAUGGCGAGCCGCGGAUGGAGAAUAA
rnacentral:rRNA from 1 species